GAGUGGCGAACUGGUGAGUAACACGUGGGAAAUCUGCCCAGAAGCAGGGGAUAACACUUGGAAACAGGUGCUAAUACCGUAUAACAACAAAAUCCGCAUGGAUUUUGUUUGAAAGGUGGCUUCGGCUAUCACUUCUGGAUGAUCCCGCGGCGUAUUAGUUAGUUGGUGAGGUAAAGGCCCACCAAGACGAUGAUACGUAGCCGACCUGAGAGGGUAAUCGGCCACAUUGGGACUGAGACACGGCCCAAACUCCUACGGGAGGCAGCAGUAGGGAAUCUUCCACAAUGGACGAAAGUCUGAUGGAGCAAUGCCGCGUGAGUGAAGAAGGGUUUCGGCUCGUAAAACUCUGUUGUUAAAGAAGAACACCUUUGAGAGUAACUGUUCAAGGGUUGACGGUAUUUAACCAGAAAGCCACGGCUAACUACGUGCCAGCAGCCGCGGUAAUACGUAGGUGGCAAGCGUUGUCCGGAUUUAUUGGGCGUAAAGCGAGCGCAGGCGGUUUUUUAAGUCUGAUGUGAAAGCCUUCGGCUUAACCGGAGAAGUGCAUCGGAAACUGGGAGACUUGAGUGCAGAAGAGGACAGUGGAACUCCAUGUGUAGCGGUGGAAUGCGUAGAUAUAUGGAAGA
rnacentral:rRNA from 1 species